rnacentral:rRNA from 2 species
UACGAAGGGGGCUAGCGUUACUCGGAAUUACUGGGCGUAAAGGGCGCGUAGGCGGCUCUGUAAGUCAGGCGUGAAAUUCCCGGGCUCAACCUGGGGACUGCGCUUGAGACUGUGGGGCUAGAGGAUGGAAGAGGGUCGUGGAAUUCCCAGUGUAGAGGUGAAAUUCGUAGAUAUUGGGAAGAACACCGGUGGCGAAGGCGGCGACCUGGUCCAUUACUGACGCUGAGGCGCGACAGCGUGGGGAGCAAACAGG